UUUAUGUUUUAUGCUUAUUUAAUCAUUUUUAUUAAUGUAUGUUAAAGAACUUUUCAUUUGAAACUGCUUUACCAGUGCUGUUUGAAUAGAGACUUUUAUUAUGAAAAAGGCUCAAAGUGACUCAGGAAGAAAAGAUGUCUGCAGCACCACAUGGAAGAUGAAGCUUUUCUAUGUUUAAAUGUUUAUAUUUUAUCCAUCUGGAGUUAAAAAGGCCAUCAGAUGCAAGAUUAAGUUCUCCUUUUGGUAAUAAGCAGCCAAUGAAUUCUCACGGCAUUCUAAGUUGGAAGCAGUCAAUAAAUAGCCUGUCAUCAGAGAAUCCUUGUGCUCGUGAAAUUACUGGGGGGAGCUACAGUGAGAAUUCAUCUGCUCUUCACGGGUAGAAGAAGAAAAGUUUCCAAGCAGCAGUCUACAAAGUAUUAAGUUAACUCCAAGUUCCAUAAUUCUGCAUUCUACAACUACUGCAUACUCCGUUCUCACGGCAUUCUAAGUUGGAAGCAGUCAAUAAAUAGCCUGUCAUCAGAGAAUCCUUGUGCUCGUGAAAUUACUGGGGGGAGCUACAGUUU